GAUGAACGCUGGCGGCGUGCCUAAUACAUGCAAGUCGAGCGAACAGAUAAGGAGCUUGCUCCUUUGACGUUAGCGGCGGACGGGUGAGUUACACGUGGAUAACCUACCUAUAAGACUGGGAUAACUUCGGGAAACCGGAGCUAAUACCGGAUAACAUAUUGAACCGCAUGGUUCAAUAGUGAAAGGCGGCUUUGCUGUCACUUAUAGAUGGAUCCGCGCCGUAUUAGCUAGUUGGUAAGGUAACGGCUUACCAAGGCAACGAUACGUAGCCGACCUGAGAGGGUGAUCGGCCACACUGGAACUGAGACACGGUCCAGACUCCUACGGGAGGCAGCAGUAGGGAAUCUUCCGCAAUGGGCGAAAGCCUGACGGAGCAACGCCGCGUGAGUGAUGAAGGUCUUCGGAUCGUAAAACUCUGUUAUCAGGGAAGAACAAAUGUGUAAGUCACUGUGCACAUCUUGACGGUACCUGAUCAGAAAGCCACGGCUAACUACGUG
rnacentral:rRNA from 1 species